UGGGGAAUAUUGCGCAAUGGGCGAAAGCCUGACGCAGCGACGCCGCGUGGGGGAUGAAGCUUUUCGGAGUGUAAACCCCUUUCGACCCGGACGAAUGGCCCGCAAGGGACUUGACGGUACGGGUAUAAGAAGCCCCGGCUAACUACGUGCCAGCAGCCGCGGUAAGACGUAGGGGGCCAGCGUUGCUCGGAAUUACUGGGCGUAAAGGGUUCGUAGGCGGUGCGGCAAGUUGGGAGUGAAAUCUCUGGGCUUAACCCAGAGGCUGCUUCCAAAACUGCCGCGCUUGAGUACGGGAGAGGCGAGUGGAAUUGCAGGUGUAGCGGUGAAAUGCGUAGAUAUCUGCAGGAACACCCGUGGCGAAAGCGGCUCGCUGGACCGUUACUGACGCUGAGGAACGAAAGCUAGGGGAGCAAACAG
rnacentral:rRNA from 1 species